CAAUGCAUCUGAUUAUCCUCAAC
rnacentral:miRNA from 1 species